GCCAGUGGCGAUAGCACGUUGAACGCACUAGUUCUCGAUGGAUCACUGAAAUUAGCAACUUUGCACGUGGCUGGUACCGGGAUGGGUGACAUUUGGGGAAUCGCGUUCUGCUGGCU
rnacentral:rRNA from 1 species